UCCCAGCUCGUCAUGCUAGAGUACUUUUUUAAUGUGCUCCCCAACGACGCGUUCGUAUAUCAAUCCAUAUCAACUUUCAAUGCCAUUUGAUGCCACGGUUAACGGGGAAUCAGGGUUCAAUUUCAUACAGGGACCCUGACAAACAGCUACCACAUGCAAGGAAGGCAGCAGGCGCGAAUAUGACCCAUUCCCGAGGCGGGGAGGUAGUGACGA